rfam:Tupaia chinensis contig18432, whole genome shotgun sequence.
CUGCUUUGGCAGCACUUAUACUAAAACUGGAACAACACAGAGGGUAUGAGCAUGGUCCCUGUGCAAGGAUGCCACACAAAUUUGUGAAGCAUUCCAUGUUUUU